AUUGAACGCUGGCGGCAUGCUUUACACAUGCAAGUCGAACGGCAGCAUAGGUGCUUGCACCUGAUGGCGAGUGGCGAACGGGUGAGUAAUAUAUCGGAACAUGUCCGGAAGUGGGGGAUAACGUAGCGAAAGUUACGCUAAUACCGCAUAUGCCCUGAGGGGGAAAGGGGGGGAUCGCAAGACCUCUCGCUUUCGGAGUGGCCGAUAUCGGAUUAGCUAGUAGGUGAGGUAAAGGCUCACCUAGGCGACGAUCCGUAGCUGGUCUGAGAGGACGACCAGCCAAACUGGGACUGAGACACGGCCCAGACUCCUACGGGAGGCAGCAGUGGGGAAUUUUGGACAAUGGGCGCAAGCCUGAUCCAGCCAUGCCGCGUGAGUGAAGAAGGCCUUCGGGUUGUAAAGCUCUUUCAGCUGGAAAGAAAUCGUAUCUAUUAAUACUAGGUGCGGAUGACGGUACCAGCAGAAGAAGCACCGGCUAACUACGUGCCAGCCGCCGCCGUAA
rnacentral:rRNA from 1 species